rnacentral:misc_RNA from 1 species
UUUCCGUAGGUGAACCUGCGGAAGGAUCAUUAACACGCGUUUUUACUCGCUAAAAACCAAAAACCAAACUUUUCUGUGAAUGUAAAACUUCUUACAGACUUGGGUCAAAUCAUCGCAACCUUUUCCUUUGUCUCAUGAUGGAGACCGUAAUAGGCUUUUUUCUUUUUCUAAGAAAAAGGGAGAGAAAGGAGUUGCUUUUUGAAAUAUACACAUUCUCGCAAUGUGUGGAUUUCAGAUGAUUUGAUGCCGAGAUUUUUUCCUUGAAUCAGCUUCCAUCACCUGAUUCAAGCAGUCCCCAACCCUUUCUUUUAUUAACACGCUUAAACAGCCAAAAACUACAAUUGAACAACUCGGAGACAGUCAAAUGUCCUCUUUGUUGUUACUAAUCAAUUCAGUCUUCAACUUUCUUUUUUUGAAAGGUUUUGAUUGAUAAUAUUUCUAAUCUAAGAACAACUCUUAGCAAUGGAUAUCUUGGUUCUC